rnacentral:ncRNA from 1 species
CGCUUAUCAAGAAAGGCUGAGGGAAAUGGCCCGAUGAAGCCUUGACAACCUGCAUGCUGGUUUGCAAUAUAACCGCUGUAAGGUGCCAACUCCAUCCCGCGGAAGGCGGGACAGAUAAGUC